AGCAUUUUUCAUUUUUGUCCCAAUAAUUUUUGGCCACUACUGUCUAUUGAUAUGUAAAACACACUUUGUUAAAUCAUAAAUGUGUUAUCAAUGAUAACAUCUAGUUAACAUCAUUAAUUUUAGGACAAUAAAUAUGUAGAAAUAUACUACUAUACCUGGCUCAAGCUGGGAUCCUCCACUUCUUUCUGGGUGGAAGUCCCAGGUUGGUCGUCGGAAGCCUCAGCUGGGGUUGAUGGAAGGGUGGAAGGAAGUUGAAAGUGAUGACCUAACUUCAAUCUUCCAUACAACGCAUUCUCUCAUAGUACCACAAACUGGGUACAUACACGCCUUCUGCUGCUGCUCCUGAUUUGAGGGAAUCCAGGAUCUUAUUCUGCUCCUUCCUAUAUGUGCUUCUCAAGCCACCAAUUUUGGCUUGCAAAAAGGAGAUUUCUUUGUUUUUGGACCUGUGUCUUCACAAAUUCCAGCAGUUUCUCCAUCGCUGUCUGCCUAGCUGCUUUGUUUUUGUAUAAGGGGUGUUUAAGCUGCCACAGACAGGUCAGCUUCCUGUACAUAUCUAUAAACUGACCCAUGAAAUUUGGGUCCUUGAAUUUAUUCAUUUUCUCUGCAAGAUAAAAACACUAAUGUCAGCCUAAACCUUAAACUCCUAAUCGUAUGCCAAUAUAGGCCUCAAUCUAGAAGCAGUUACUCCUUCCUCCGCUCACAGAUCGUAGGUACAACACACGCGCCAUAGCUUUAUAUACACUGUGCAUGCGUGAAACUCUGCACACGUCGCCCGCCCCCUGACGUUUUUUGUAGUAUAUUCCCCACCCCUUCUCUUUCGUUGCAGUGGGAGAGGAACAUGACGGAGACUCAGCAGGUGCAUAAUAAUAGCACUAACAAGGAGGAAAGCCCGGAGUUAGAAAUGUCCCGAUCCAGGAAGAGAUAUAAGGCCUCAAAUAUGUCUUUUGUGGAGAUGGCGGAGAUGGUGGACAUCUUAAAGAGGACCGACAAUGAUGGGAAGUAUGGACCGUACCAAAACCCAAAUGUGAGAAAGGCCAAAAUCAUGUCUAGAGUUGUGAGGAGUCUGCACAGGAAUUUUGGGGUACGACGGUCCAAGGAGCAAUUGAGGAAACGCUGGUCAGACCUGAAAUUCAGGGAGCAUGAUCAGCACAGAAGGAUCAGGAAACUGCUUAAAAACACUUGGGACAUCUGAGGACACCAGGAACCCCACACAUCCUAAAGAAGGAACUCAGCACACCACAACCUGAGGAAGUGGAGGGAGGAGAGGUGUAUGAAGUGGGCAAAAUAGUGACCCCAACAGGUGAUGUGGAUGAAGAAUAGCGUUUCACCAGUGCAAGUGCACACAUCCUCAUCCAGGACAUAAUGGUGUACAAUCGUUAUUUAGACAUGAUAAAGCAAAAAAUCAAUGAUAUUGAAAAAAAUGAAGAACAUGAUUGAUGUUUUAGGCAGAAUCUAAAUCACACAAUAUCU